rnacentral:rRNA from 1 species
UACGCGGUUGGGGCGGCAGUGGGCAGCUAGGCCGACGCCGCGACGCGUGAAGGUGGGAGCAACGGGAGAGAUCAGGUCGUUGUAGUGGACGAGGGAAGUUGAGGGUAGAGCUAGAAGUACCGGGAGUCUAGAUCGUCGGGAGCCGGUGCUACGACGGCCUAGACCAGCCGAACCGGAGUAGCGGGGUUGGUUAUCCACGAGCUGCGGUGAGGAGUGCUAAGUCCUUGCGUCGCCAGAAGAAGUAGUCGAGAUAUAGAGAGGUGAAGGAUGCGGUACAUAGCCGGUAGACGGGAAAGAACUUCGAGGAGGAGUAGGUUCACCGGUGGACUACAACGGCUCACCUGGUGCGAGUGAGCGCGGAAGCGGGUGGUCAUGGUCCUAAAAGAGCACAGAAAGUUCAACUUAUGGCCCCUCUAACUCCUCUACCAAGGUACCGCCCGAUGAUACCACCACUCCAAGUGCAAGAUGUCACUCCGGUACCGGUAGCAACAAACGUACAGACAAAUCCACCGUCAACCCUGAUAGACUUCUCGUUAUUACAUUACGAAAACUCGACUCCAUGUACUUCAGCAUAAACUUUCGCCUGCUCUACUACAAACAGUUGUGCUUUGACUUUUCCAACCAGGUAGUAGAGAAUCGGUAUGUAGGGUAGAUCAAUACGCGGUUAAAUCAAGAUCUGUUGUACGCGUACCUCUUUGUAUAUACGCUUUUAUGUACAUAGAAGUAGUGAUGGUAACUCAAGACUUGAAGAUUAUUCUUGUAACGGGACAGUUAGCUGAAGGAACAAAACUCUGGAAGGAAAAAAAUAAACUCUAGAACACAGACUCCGUGUGACUGGUGAACCGGUCGCAUGUUACGGAAACUUCUGGUACGAUAUGUCUAUUGAACGAAACCCUGGAAGAAAAAAAUCGACUAAAGAAUCGAAUGGUGUAACGGAUCCACUAUGAUGACAUGAUAUAUAUAUUACAUACGUGGACGAACACGGGAUAAAAGGAUCUACACCGAGUAUUGACUCUAUAGAUAGAUACCUGAUCGACAAAAGAAAUGUGAUUUAGAUAGAAUUAAUGCCACGCUCCCCAUUUUAAAACAACUUGAGUAUAUCCUUAAAAAAAAGGAUAUAGUGUACCGGUAGAACCAGAUUGAUAUCGUGUACCCCGAAGACCUCUAUACUACUUAUAUCAAUUAAUCUUUUAACAGUACACGAACCUUAAUAUACUUACAAUGUUCAUUAAGUUUUUCGUACUACACAAGACUUGACAACGUUUGAAUAAUAUUUUAACUUUAGUGACACCAAAUAACCAUAUAAUAAAGACAUCAUAUGUCUCGUUGCACAUCAGGAGUAAGAAAUAAUAAAACUCAUACACAAGGACGACUAAGUACAAUGGGACUUUUAACGUACACUUCCUAGUUUUCCAUUUACACAUCAGUAUGACGAUCUAUCGUCGAUUGAUCAGUCAAUUUUCUAGAUUUCAAACAGUGAUAUACGAGUUAAUUUAAAGUUGAUGUAAUGUAGUAAAAGUAGAGGGAAUGUUGAUCAGAUCACUUUGUUAUGACCUCCUUAGCACUAGAUACCGUUCCCACUACUACAGAUACCGCUACUAACAGUACUAGAUGUACCGCUACUCGUAAUACUAGGUACUUCCCACUACUCAGAUUACUAGAAAGAAGUCCUGUACGUUGUUUCACUUGAAGACUUCAAAACCAGUUAAAAUCGAAUCCGUAUUACGAACCUGGUAAUAUAUAAUCAAUGAUAAAACAAAACGUAAAGUUUGAAGGAUCUAUCUAGUACUACUUGUCACAUUAAACCUACGUGCAGUAAUCCGAAUACCAUAAAACCUUCAACGUGAUUUAUAUUAUAUACAAUGAACCAGU